rnacentral:rRNA from 1 species
CUUGAGAAAUAUAAGAGGUCCAGCCUGCCCAGUGACCUAGUUCAACGGCCGCGGUAUCCUAACCGUGCGAAGGUAGCGUAAUCACUUGUUCUUUAAAUAAGGACUAGUAUGAAUGGCACCACGAGGGUUUAACUGUCUCCUUUUUCUAAUCAGUGAAACUAAUCUCCCCGUGAAGAAGCUGGGAUUUUUUUAUAAGACGAGAAGACCCUAUGGAGCUUUAAACUAUUUUACACCUGCUGCCCACAAACCAACUUCCAGAAAUUAACCCUAAAGCAUAGCACUUUGAUUAAUAGUUUUUGAUUGGGGUGAUCGCGGAGUAAAAAAUAACCUCCACGACGAAAGGAUUUUUCCUGAGCCAUAAGCCACAGCUUUAAGCACUAAUAUUAUUAACGGCUAUUGACCCAAUAAUUUUGAUCAACGAAC